GCCACAGCGCCGUGUAGUGGGCCUUGGAGAGGAGCUGUUCUACACCACCACGGCUGAAGCUGCAGGGAGCCAUCAGUGCCCGCGAGCUCAGAGGGGUGGGCGGGCACACAGCACCCUUGGACCUCAGACCGGGGCCUUCCGCGGCAGAGCUUCUCUGCUGACCGUGCGUCUGGGGGUCAUUCUGCGUUUCUGGGGAGAGCCUGCCUGAGCCUGAAUCCCGUGGAGAGAAGCGGACUGGAGGACUCCUACCUCCAGGUUGCAAUCCUCUGAAAACUCAGGCAGCGAUCCUACCUGAUACCCCUGGACCGAGACACAUGCGAAUGUGACGUCAUCAUCUGAAUUGCAUAGGCCCAGCCCUCCUGAAAAGGGGCCUCUCGAUCAUCUGGGUGCACUGGAACCAAGCCGCCGUCACCA